rnacentral:rRNA from 1 species
CUACGGAGGAUCCGAGCGUUAUCCGGAUUUAUUGGGUUUAAAGGGUGCGCAGGCGGCCAUUUAAGUCAGCGGUUAAAUCGUGGGGCUCAACCCCAUUCUGCCGUUGAUACUAGGUGGCUUGAUUGCGGUCGAGGUUGGCGGAAUUCGUUGUGUAGCGGUGAAAUGCAUAGAUAUGACGAAGAACACCGAUUGCGUAGGCAGCUGACCAGACCGCAAAUGACGCUCAUGCACGAAAGUGCGGGGAUCGAACAGGAUUAGAUACCCUGGUAGUCCGCACAGUAAAUGAUGAAUACUUGUUUUCGGCGAUAUAAUGUCGGAGGCAAAGCGAAAGCGAUAAGUAUUCCACCUGGGGAGUACGCCGGCAACGGUGAAACUCAAAGGAAUUGACGGGG